UACGUAGGGUGCGAGCGUUAAUCGGAAUUACUGGGCGUAAAGCGUGCGCAGGCGGUUGCGUAAGUCAGAUGUGAAAGCCCCGGGCUCAACCUGGGAAUUGCAUUGAGACUGCGUAGCUAGGGUGCGGAAGAGGGAAGCGGAAUUUCCGGUGUAGCGGUGAAAUGCGUAGAUAUCGUAAGGAAGACCAGUGGCCGGAAGGGC
rnacentral:rRNA from 1 species